CUCCGGUGAUCCCGCCGGACCCGACUGCUAUCAGAGUGGGACUAAGCCAUGCGAGUCAACAUAGCAAUAUGUGGCAUACGGCUCAGUAACACGUAGUCAACAUGCCCAGGGGACGAGGAUAACCUCGGGAAACUGAGGAUAAACCUCGAUAAGUCAUGAUUUCUGGAAUGGGUAAUGACUCAAAUCUACAUGGCCCCUGGAUUGGACUGCGGCCGAUCAGGCUGUUGGUGAGGUAAUGGCCCACCAAACCUGUAACCGGUACGGGCUCUGAGAGGAGGAGCCCGGAGAUGGGCACUGAGACAAGGGCCCAGGCCCUAUGGGGCGCAGCAGGCGCGAAACCUCUGCAAUAGGCGAAAGCUUGACAGGGUUACUCUGAGUGAUUUCCGUUAAGGAAAUCUUUUGGCACCUCUAAAAAUGGUGCAGAAUAAGGGGUGGGCAAGUCUGGUGUCAGCCGCCGCGGUAAUACCAGCACCCCGAGUGGUCGGGACGUUUAUUGGGCCUAAAGCAUCCGUAGCCGGUUCUGCAAGUCUUCCGUUAAAUCCACCUGCUCAACAGAUGGGCUGCGGAAGAUACUACAGAGCUAGGAGGCGGGAGAGGCAAGCGGUACUCUAUGGGUAGGGGUAAAAUCCGUUGAUCCAUUGAAGACCACCAGUGGCGAAGGCGGCUUGCCAGAACGCGCUCGACGGUGAGGGAUGAAAGCUGGGGGAGCAAACCGGAUUAGAUACCCGGGUAGUCCCAGCUGUAAACGAUGCAGACUCGGUGAUGAGUUGGCUUCUUGCUAACUCAGUGCCGCAGGGAAGCCGUUAAGUUUGCCGCCUGGGGAGUACGGUCGCAAGACUGAAACUUAAAGGAAUUGGCGGGGGAGCA
rnacentral:rRNA from 1 species